rnacentral:rRNA from 1 species
UACGGAGGAUCCGAGCGUUAUCCGGAUUUAUUGGGUUUAAAGGGAGCGUAGGCGGGUUGUUAAGUCAGUUGUGAAAGUUUGCGGCUCAACCGUAAAAUUGCAGUUGAUACUGGCAUCCUUGAGUACAGUAGAGGUAGGCGGAAUUCGUGGUGUAGCGGUGAAAUGCUUAGAUAUCACGAAGAACUCCGAUUGCGAAGGCAGCCUGCUGGACUGUAACUGACGCUGAUGCUCGAAAGUGUGGGUAGCAAACAGG